rnacentral:rRNA from 1 species
GGUAUGAGCUGGCGGGCGGCGGCGGUAAGAUGCGGGGGGGAGGCGGUUUGCGGAAGCUUUUGGGGUAAAGUGGGCGUAUGCGGCCCUGUAAGUGCGAUCUGAAAGGCCAAGGCUCCAGCUUGGGGUGCGGGUUGAUACGUGCGGGCUAGAGUCCGGAAGAGUCGAGUGGAAUUCCUGGUGUAGCUGUGGAAUGCGCAGAUAUCAGGAGGAACACCAAUAGCGAAGGCAGCUCGCUGGGACGGUACUGACGCUAAGGCGCGAAAGCGUGGGGAGCGAACAGGAUUAGAUACCCCAGUAGUC